rnacentral:rRNA from 1 species
AUUGAACGCUGGCGGCAUGCCUUACACAUGCAAGUCGAACGGCAGCACGGGAGCAAUCCUGGUGGCGAGUGGCGAACGGGUGAGUAAUAUAUCGGAACGUGCCCAGUAGUGGGGGAUAACUGCUCGAAAGAGCAGCUAAUACCGCAUACGACCUGAGGGUGAAAGGGGGGGAUCGCAAGACCUCUCGCUAUUGGAGCGGCCGAUAUCAGUUUAGCUAGUUGGUGGGGUAAAGGCCUACCAAGGCAACGAUCUGUAGUUGGUCUGAGAGGACGACCAGCCAGACUGGGACUGAGACACGGCCCAGACUCCUACGGGAGGCAGCAGUGGGGAAUUUUGGACAAUGGGCGCAAGCCUGAUCCAGCAAUGCCGCGUGCAGGAAGAAGGCCUUCGGGUUGUAAACUGCUUUUGUCAGGGAAGAAAUCCUCUAGGUUAAUACCCUUGGGGGGAUGACGGUACCUGAAGAAUAAGCACCGGCUAACUACGUGCCAGCCGCCGCAGUAAUAC